AGAGUUUGAUCCUGGCUCAGGACGAACGCUGGCGGCGUGCUUAACACAUGCAAGUCGAACGGUAAGGCCCUUCGGGGUACACGAGUGGCGAACGGGUGAGUAACACGUGGGUAAUCUGCCCUGCACAUCGGGAUAAGCCUGGGAAACUGGGUCUAAUACCGAAUAGGACCACAGGACACAUGUCCUGUGGUGGAAAGCUUUUGCGGUGUGGGAUGGGCCCGCGGCCUAUCAGCUUGUUGGUGGGGUGAUGGCCUACCAAGGCGACGACGGGUAGCCGGCCUGAGAGGGUGUCCGGCCACACUGGGACUGAGAUACGGCCCAGACUCCUACGGGAGGCAGCAGUGGGGAAUAUUGCACAAUGGGCGAAAGCCUGAUGCAGCGACGCCGCGUGGGGGAUGACGGCCUUCGGGUUGUAAACCUCUUUCACCAUCGACGAAGGUCCGGGUUUUCUCGGGCUGACGGUAGGUGGAGAAGAAGCACCGGCCAACUACGUGCCAGCAGCCGCGGUAAUACGUAGGGUGGGAGCGUUGUCCGGAAUUACUGGGCGUAAAGAGCUCGUAGGUGGUUUGUCGCGUUGUUCGUGAAAUCUCACGGCUUAACUGUGAGCGUGCGGGCGAUACGGGCAGACUAGAGUACUGCAGGGGAGACUGGAAUUCCUGGUGUAGCGGUGGAAUGCGCAGAUAUCAGGAGGAACACCGGUGGCGAAGGCGGGUCUCUGGGCAGUAACUGACGCUGAGGAGCGAAAGCGUGGGGAGCGAACAGGAUUAGAUACCCUGGUAGUCC
rnacentral:rRNA from 1 species